UACGGGGGGGGCAAGCGUUGUUCGGAAUUACUGGGCGUAAAGGGCUCGUAGGCGGCCAACUAAGUCAGACGUGAAAUCCCUCGGCUUAACCGGGGAACUGCGUCUGAUACUGGAUGGCUUGAAUCCGGGAGAGGGAUGCGGAAUUCCAGGUGUAGCGGUGAAAUGCGUAGAUAUCUGGAGGAACACCGGUGGCGAAGGCGGCAUCCUGGACCGGCAUUGACGCUGAUGAGCGAAAGCUAGGGGAGCAAACGGG
rnacentral:rRNA from 1 species